rnacentral:lncRNA from 1 species
GCUGUUCUUUCAUAAAAGUCUGAUAUCCUAUUCCUUAUUUGGUAGUGAGUGCCUCCCCUCAUUACUGACACUAUCAAAUGAUGUGGUACCUAAUGUCAGACUAGCUGUGGCUAGGACCCUCUACUCUACACUAGACAAUACACAAUUUAUCUCUGCCAAUCAAUCCUUUUCUCAAGACAUCAGUUCAAUCAUAUCAAAACUAAAAGAAGAUAGAGACAGAGAUGUUCGCUACUACUCUGGAAAUUAUGAAGACAUCAACAACAACACAAGGACCUCUCUCUCUCCCUCUACCCCUUCAGCUCAGCAGCUGCAACAGUUUGAAAAUACUCAAGAAGAUACUGAAUAUAAACUGGAUAUAGCAAAUGCUGGUAGCAUAUUGCAAUUAACUUAAUCUAUUUAUUUACUAUUUUAUUGCUCUUAUUGGUAUUAAUAUUAUU